rnacentral:rRNA from 1 species
GCGUCAUCUCCGCAAGGGGAUUUCCGAAAGGGGCGGUAAUGCUGAAUAACGUAGCUGGUCGUAUGACUGGUUACCAAAGAUUUAUCGGUGCGAGAGCGGCCUAUCUCCUAUCAGCUAGUUGGUGAGGUAAUGGCCCACCAAGGCGAUGACGGGUACCGGGGCUGAGAGGUUGGCCCGGCACAUCGGAACUGAGACACUGUCCGGACCUCCACGGAGGGCUGCAGUAACGAAUAUUGGGCAAUGGGCGAAAGCCUGACCCAGCGACGCCGCGUGUAGGAUGAAGUCCCUCGGGAUGUAAACUACUGUCAGGGUGAAGAAAGGUCGCAAGACUUGAUCUAACCCAGAGGAAGCAACGGCUAACUUCGUGCCAGCAGCCGCGGUAAUACGAAGGUUGCAAGCGUUGUUCGGAAUCACUGGGCUUAAAGCGCAUGUAGGCGGAUGAGUAAGCGUUUUGUGAAAUCCCUCGGCUUAACCGAGGAAUUGCUUGGCGAACUGCUCAUCUUGAGGCAAGCAGGGGUGCAUGGAACUCUUGGUGGAGCGGUGGAAUGCGUAGAUUUCAAGAGGAACGCCAAUGGUGAAAACAGUGCGCUGGGCUUGUUCUGACGCUGAGAUGCGAAAGCGUGGGGAGCGAACGGGAUUAGAUACCCCGGUAGUCCACGCCGUAAACGAUGCCUACUAGGUCGUAGAACCUCUGACGGUUUUAUGGCCGAAGCAAAAGUGUUAAGUAGGCCGCCUGGGGAGUACGGUCGCAAGGCUAAAACUCAAAGGAAUUGACGGGGGCUCACACAAGCGGUGGAGCAUGUGGAUUAAUUCGAAACAACGCGCAGAACCUUACCUGGGUUUGACAUGGUUGGAUGCCUUAUUGGAAACAGUGUAGGCUGCCCGCAAGGGUGAAACUUUCACAGGUGCUGCAUGGCUGUCGUCAGCUCGUGUCGUGAGAUGUCGGGUUAAGUCCCUUAACGAGCGAAACCCUUGUCGUUAGUUACCAUCAGGUUAUGCUGGGAACUCUAACGAGACUGCCGGUGUUAAACCGGAGGAAGGUGGGGAUGACGUCAAGUCCUCAUGGCCUUUAUGCCCAGGGCUUCACACGUGCUACAAUGGCGAGUACAGAGCGAUGCAAGACCGCGAGGUGGAGCAAAUCGCACAAAAGUCGCCCCAGUUCGGAUUGUAGGCUGUCAACUCGCCUACAUGAAGUUGGAAUCGCUAGUAAUCGCGUAUCAGCUACGACGCGGUGAAUGUGUUCCUGAGCCUUGUACACACCGCCCGUCAAGUCAUGGGAGCCGGUAGUACCCGAAGUCGGGUUGUCAACUGCAAAGAGACGCCUGCCGACGGUAAGAUCGGUGACUGGGACUAAGUCGUAACAAGGUA